GCCUGGAUAGCUCAGUUGGUUAGAGCGUGGUGCUGAUAAUGCCAUGGCUACAGGUUCAGUCCCCGUAUAGGACA